rnacentral:rRNA from 1 species
UACGGAAGGGGCAAGCGUUGUUCGGAAUCAUUGGGCGUAAAGGGCGCGCAGGUGGUUCUGUAUGUCUACCGUGAAAGCGUACGGCUCAACCGUAUUUUGUCGGUAGAAACUGCAGGACUUGAGGCUGGGAGGGGCUGGUGGAAUUCCCUGUGUAGCGGUGAAAUGCGUAGAGAUGGGGGAGAACACUCGUGGCGAAGACGGCCAGCUAGACCAGUUCUGACACUGAGGCGCGACAGCGUGGGGAGCAAACAGG